CGUCUAUAUACGUAUAGCAUAUCAAUAAGCGGAGGAAAAGAAACUAACAAGGAUUCCCUUAGUAACGGCGAGUGAAGCGGGAAGAGCUCAAAUUUGAAAUCUUCAAGGUUCUACCUUGACGAAUUGUAGUUUAUAGAAGUGUUUUCUGUUAGUGGAGUUGGCUAAAAGUUCUUUGGAAUAGGACAUCAUAGAGGGUGAGAAUCCCGUAUUUGGUCAUUCCUCCUAGCGUUGUGAUACACUUUCAACGAGUCGGAUUGUUUGGGAAUGCAGUCCAAAAUGGGUGGUAAAUUUCAUCUAAAGCUAAAUAUUGGCGAGAGACCGAUAGCGAACAAGUACCGUGAGGGAAAGAUGAAAAGAACUUUGAAAAGAGAGUUAAACAGUACGUGAAAUUGUCAAAAGGGAAGCGUUUGACACCAGUGUUGUUUUUCCGAAAAUCAAUUACGAAUGUUUUAUUUUUGAGGAGUUAUGACUUCAUCGGCUUGCUCCUUUCUUUAUGAAACUUUCUUAAUGCACCUUUCGGUUAACUAAGUCAACAUCAAUUUCUUUUGUUGUAAAAGGGUAUGAGGAAGGUGGCUUUCUUUUCGGAGAAAGUGUUUAUAGCCUUGUGCCUCUGCAAUCGGAGAGAUUGAGGGUCUGCAGCGUAGAUCCUUCGGGGUUAGAUACACUUUGUGCUAAGUUAUAGCUUUUCAUAGACAACUUGUUGACUAUGUUUAGUCAUUGUAGGCUUACUCGCUUAUGCUAUUUUACCUACGCUUAGGAUGUUGACUGAUAUGUAGUCGUA
rnacentral:rRNA from 1 species